rnacentral:ncRNA from 2 species
CGCCCAUCCCCGGGGAGCCGAGCGGCUGAGAGGUGGGCGUUGCGCCCCACGACCCGUUGAACCUGAACCGGCUGAUACCGGCGGAGGGAGGGAGCGGCGUUUUUAC